UCUCUCUCUCUCUCUCUCUGUCUCUCUCUCUCCGCUUGUUUUACACACGUCGUGUGCAAGAACGAGGAAGAUAACCCCCUGACCAGGAUAUUAAUAGUAACGACCGCAUUUUUCACGCUUGUGCAGGCUUUGAAAAUCAACAAAAUCAUGUUUAAUUCAUGUGUUUGUGAUCUACAUUUACUCAGGAGCUGAGAAGAAAUUGGAUCUGAAUCCCACUGUCUGAAUAUUGUGUCGGCUGAGCAGGACAUCUCAUCAAAAUAACGCGGAUCUACUUAUUAUAUUUAAAUGUUCUGCGGAUUAUUAACCCUUCUAUGAGAAAACAUGAAGAGGUUGAACUCCACCACGUCGAAUUCAGAGACAACUGAGAAGAGAUAUUGUCAACGUGAAGAUGACCCGAUGGAAAGUAGCCCUGCCGUCCGGAGUGAAUCAAGUACAUGUACAUACGAUAUGGCGGAAUCAUCGCAAUCACGUGGUCAUGUUCUGUUAACCGGAGGAGCGGGAUACCUAGGCUCUACGCUUAUCCCUAUCCUGUUGGAGCAGGGCUAUGAGGUCACGAUUUAUGACAUCUUUUUCUGGGGACCCACCUCUAUGAUUUCAUAUGCAGCCAACCCUAAGUUCCAUAUCGUCCGCGGUGACAUCCGAGACAAACAGUUGCUUGCCGAACACAUGCACGACAAAGACGCCAUCAUUCAUCUGGCAGCCAUUGUGGGAUACCCUGCCUGUGACAAAGACCCGGAUUUAGCGAUUGACACCAAUGUCAUUGGGACCAGAAAUAUCGCCGAACUGAAAACACCGGAUCAGAAACUGAUUUACGCGAGUACAGGGUCUUGUUAUGGAGCAGUAGACGGAAUAUGUACGGAGGAGACGCAAAUCAGUCCCCUAACUCUGUAUGGAAGCAGUAAAGCCGACGCCGAAAAAAUGGUUCUGGCUGCGAAUGGAGUUGCCUUGCGUCUAGCCACAGUGUUUGGUCUCUCACCUCGACUUCGUCUCGACCUUCUCAUCAAUGAUCUGACGUACAAGGCCCUCACCCUCAAAGAAUUUGACUUGUAUGAAGGAUCUUUCAGACGCACAUUUUUGCACGUGAAAGAUGCUGCGCGUGCUUUUGCAUUUGCAUUGAACAAUUACGAAAAAAUGAAAGGUGAGGCCUUCAAUGUUGGCGACGAAGCCAUGAAUAUGACCAAAUCUCGCGUGGCUCAGCUUAUCCAGGAACACGUGAAGGGGUGCGUCAUUACGGAAUCUAAGUCGGGGGAAGACAAGGAUAAGCGAGAUUACGAGGUCUCCUAUCAGAAGAUCCGCAAGCUGGGCUUCGGCUCCUCCAUUUCUGUGGAGGAGGGAAUACGAGAUAUGCUAAAGAUCCUGCCACACAUUGAAACUACAGAUGUCUGCAAAUUCAAGAAUGUGUGAACAAAACUGAUGUACGAAAUACAGAGGAUGUAAUAUAUGUAUGCUGUUCAUAACUUUAAUACUCCUGGAAUUAUUUAAGAAAGCAAGUGAAACAAGAUUGAUGGUGUAUCCAUUAGAUAGACUGUCCUUUUUUUAUUCCCUUUUUUAUAUUGGUUUUUAGACUUCUGGUUUUUCCCUUUACAUUAUUUUAUGAGUAUUUAAAAUUUAUUCGCUUGGCUGUUUAUGUAAGGAAAGCUUAUUAAUGUGUUCUGACAUUUGCGCUUAAAGUGCUUAGUUUACUUUCGUUCGUAAAUUGAUAUCCAGUCAUCAGUUAUUUCUUUCCUGGUGUGUACUGUGUCUUUAUGGAGUAAAUAAAGGUUUUAAUUCUU